rfam:Gossypium arboreum cultivar AKA8401 contig_11295_1, whole genome shotgun sequence.
UAUUAAAAAUUGCAUUAAUUUGUAUUGUUAAAAAUUGAUGUGACAGACAAUAUAACCAAACAGUGCCACAUGUACCUCAUGUUAUGUACAAUGAUCAAUUUUUAACAAUAGAAAUGGCUGAAAUUUUUAAUA